rnacentral:rRNA from 1 species
CCCCUAGAUGUUCUGGGCCGCACGCGCGCUACACUGAACAGUUCAACAAGUCUUAACCUUGGCCGAUAGGUCUGGGUAAUCUUUGAACGCUGUUCGUGAUUGGGAUAGACCUUUGCAAUUAUGGGUCUUCAACGAGGAAUUCCUAGUAAACGCAAGUCAUCAGCUUGCAUUGAUUACGUCCCUGCCCUUUGUACACACCGCCCGUCGCACCUACCGAUUGAAUGGUCCGGUGAAAUCUCGGGACGGCGGCUUGGUCGCUUGCGUCCGACUGCUGAAACUUGAUUAAACCAUAUCAUUUAGAGGAAGGUGAAGUCGUGNCA